rnacentral:pre_miRNA from 14 species
AGCUCGAGUCUCAGGAUGGUGCGACCCAGGAAACACCAAUCCCGGACGAGCCCCCAAAUGAAAGAUCCUACGCAGAGAGAGACCCUUACUCAAGUCUCGGGAAGUCGCGGACCCCAGACACAGAGAGACCA